rnacentral:rRNA from 1 species
UACGAAGGGUGCAAGCGUUACUCGGAAUUACUGGGCGUAAAGCGUGCGUAGGCGGUUUGUUAAGUCCGUUGUGAAAGCCCUGGGCUCAACCUGGGAAUUGCAGUGGAUACUGGCGAGCUAGAGUGCGGUAGAGGAUGGUGGAAUUCCCGGUGUAGCGGUGAAAUGCGUAGAGAUCGGGAGGAACACCCGUGGCGAAGGCGGGUUACUGGGCUGAUACUGACGCUGAUGCGCGAAAGCCAGGGGAGCAAACGGGG